UCGAUCACGUCGUUAUUUUUGUAUUGUGUCCGUGUGUGUAGUUUGUAUAAUAUAAUAUUGUUAGCUAUUUAAAUAUGCCCAAAGUAGCUCGCACAAAAAGGUCAAAAGUUAGUAUUUAUUUGGAAGAAUUUCCGAAUGAAACUUUUAGGAUUGAUGGACAAGUUUUAUACUGUCAGUCUUGUGAUAAAUCAGUAUCUAUUGACCAACGUGGUCAAGUUAUUCAGCACAUCAAUACCAGUAAACAUAGAGGCAAUAAAGACAGAAAGCUUAUAUUUCAACAAAAUUUUAUUUCUACAUCAUCCGCAUCUACCAAUAGUAAGUCAGUUUUUAAUGAUGAUUUGUGUCGUGCACUAAUACGUUCAGACAUUCCUCUUUUUAAAUUGAAAAAUGUUGCAUUUAAAAAUUUUAUGGAAAAAUAUACUGGUCAUAAAAUUCCCGACGAGAGUACACUUAGAAAAAAUUAUGUUAGUGGGGUGUAUGAAGAAACUAUUUCGAAAAUUCAAAAUGUCAUUGGAGAUGGCCCUAUUUGGGUUGGAGUAGAUAAAACAACAGAUGCCGACGGUCGAUGUAUCGCAAAUGUUAUUGUAGGAAAAUUGAGCACUGAACCAUCUAAACCAUUUUUAUUGUGCUGUGAAGAAUUAGAUAAAUGCAACCACAAAACUAUAGGUACGUCAAUUAUUUAAUAAUGCAAUGGGAGUUUUGUGGCCGAAUGGUAUAAUACACAAUAAUGUACUUUUACUUUUAACGGACGCCGCGCCGUAUAUGUGUAAGGCGGGAAAAGUGUUGGACACAUUUUAUCCAAGAAUAAUACAUUUAACUUGUCUAGUACAUGGUUUUCAUCGUAUAGCUGAAACAAUAUGUAUUUGUCACGUGCAAUACCGAGCAUUCCCAACAGCUCUGAUAAACAUCAUAAUGCGCAAUCAUUUCGCAUUAAGUAGCGGGUGUGUGACGGAUUGGUGAUGAUAAUAUUUUCACCUUGGUCUAAGGCAUAGUGUAUAGAGGAAUUUGAUUGUAUUGUAUUUCACACGGAAGGCGUACUUAACGUCCGAACACCCUAUCACGGGUAAUGCGACUGUCGCUAUUCCGACCACGUUCCUCCGCUAAUUUUCCAAUGACUUAUCCGUCCGCUUUCGUUUGGCGAUGAAGCGUAUGACCAAUGGGGCGAGAGUAACAAAUGAUAUUUUUGUCGAAACUGUAUCGUUACUACAAUAGACAAAGUCAACGUGAAAUAUUCUCAACACUAAAUCAGCUGGCAACAGAAAAGGGAUAUGUUUAAAAAAGCUUAGACAAUAAAAAUUAUUCCUAUGACAUCGAAGCGGUCGCAUCACCCUCACAUAAACCUGUUUUUAAAUAAUAACAUCUUCCAGAUAAAUUCAUAACAAUACUUGAAAAUGCGGUAGUACUUUUUUCCACGAAUAAAGGUCAACUAAGCGUAAGAGAUUUACUUCAAAAUAAUUUGAAUUCUCCUUAAUUAAUAAAACCGAGAACUAUAAUUCGAUAUCUAUUAAAUAACUUUUCAAGUUUGGAUGAAUUCAAUUUCCCACGGAUUUUCUAUUUUAUUAAUAAUUUCACAACUUUACUUCCUUUAGAUUCGUAUAACAUUUUGAUCACGGCGUGAUAGUAUGUGUCAUUGUUCAAAUAUGUCUAGCAUGAAAAAUAUAUUCCUCAUACACAUUCAUACUCAAUUAUUUCAGCGCCAUGGAAAGAAAUUAAGACAAAUUAAUCCAGGCCUUUCUCACUUGAGGUAUUAAACUUGCCACUGACUUCCAGUGUCGUCUUUUAAAAUCCUAUGGGUCUUUCUUGAAAACGUUACACCAUGAUCGAGACGUAGUGAACUUGGUCAGGCCCCGGGCCGUUUUUCAAUCCCGAACUCCUGGGCUACAGCUCCAGCUGCCACCACCCUCUCGUCGGGCCUCACUAUACUUGAAGAUAUACGAUCUUAUAUUAUGUUCUUUAUAAUAUAAUAUAUCUGUUUCUUCCGUUUCAAGUUUUU
rnacentral:misc_RNA from 1 species